AACGAACGCUGGCGGCAGGCCUAACACAUGCAAGUCGAGCGCCCCGCAAGGGGAGCGGCAGACGGGUGAGUAACGCGUGGGAAUCUACCUAGUGGUACGGAAUAGCCCCGGGAAACUUGGAGUAAUACCGUAUACGCCCGAAAGGGGAAAGAUUUAUCGCCAUUAGAUGAGCCCGCGUUGGAUUAGCUAGUUGGUGGGGUAACAGCCCACCAAGGCGACGAUCCAUAGCUGGUCUGAGAGGAUGAUCAGCCACACUGGGACUGAGACACGGCCCAGACUCCUACGGGAGGCAGCAGUGGGGAAUAUUGGACAAUGGGCGCAAGCCUGAUCCAGCCAUGCCGCGUGAGUGACGAAGGUCUUCGGAUUGUAAAGCUCUUUUGGCGGGGACGAUAAUGACGGUACCCGCAGAAUAAGCCCCGGCUAACUUCGUGCCAGCAGCCGCCGUAA
rnacentral:rRNA from 1 species